rnacentral:rRNA from 1 species
UACGUAGGGUCCGAGCGUUGUCCGGAAUUACCGGGCGUAAAGAGCUCGUAGGUGGUUUGUCGCGUUGUUCGUGAAAACUCACAGCUCAACUGUGGGCGUGCGGGCGAUACGGGCAGACUGGAGUACUGCAGGGGAGACUGGAAUUCCUGGUGUAGCGGUGGAAUGCGCAGAUAUCAGGAGGAACACCGGUGGCGAGGGCGGGUCUCUGGGCCAUUACUGACGCUGAGGAGCGAAAGCGUGGGGAGCGAACAGG